rnacentral:rRNA from 1 species
UCCGUAGGCGGGCGUCUAAGUCAGUGGUGAAAUCUUACAGCUCAACUGUAAAAUUGCCAUUGAUACUGGAUGUCUUGAAUUAGUGUGAAGAGGUUAGAAUGUGUAGUGUAGCGGUGAAAUGCAUAGAUAUUACACAGAAUACCAAUUGCGAAGGCAGAUCACUAACACUAUAUUGACGCUGAGGGACGAAAGCGUGGGGAGCGAACAGGAUUAGAUACCCUGGUAGUCC